GCGCCAUUAGCUCAGUUGGUUAGAGCCGAUUUUAGGGUCGUAGGUUCAAGUCCUACAUGGCGAGCCA
rnacentral:tRNA from 1 species